CAACAAUGGCGCAUAUUUUAUGACCGUGAUUGCAAUCCAAAUUUGCAUUUGAGCUCAGCAGUCGAGUGUGGUGCCAAAAAUACCAGAAGCGAUGUCCUAUAUACGGCCUUGACCAGAAGUGUUGCAUGCCCUGGAUGCAGAAAAACAAGAUUGAGAUGAGUGGAUCAAGAUGUAUCUUUCGUGCAGAUGCAUCAAGAUCCUUUCACUUAAGAUCCAUGCAGGUGAGGUUCCAGUGAAAUUUGAAUUCGAUAGGUAGCUAUUUUUGAUUUUGCUUUGAUACUUGUGGUAAGGAAACAUGAUUAUGGUUGCAUGAACCGCCCACUGCUCAUUGCUGUCUUGUCUCACGUUCGAUAUCCGAUCACCAUUCUUAAAUAGCUCACCCCAUAUGGAAAUCAGGUUUCAGGAGGCCACUAGGCUUGUGGGGCCUGGUCUCAAUGAGCUCCCAGUGCUAAGGACAGUCAGGCUCAUAUGCUGGGUAAGGUCAGGUUCAGGUAGGCCAGUAUGCACUCUGCAAAGCAUGGCAAUUUCGACAAGAUCUCGUCUGUGCUGGCUUGUCCGGCUGGUGAGGCUUUGGUGUGGCGUGGAUUUAGCUUGGUGCAGUGCGGAUUUUGUGUAGCGCGGUGCAGAUUUGGUCUGGUGUGGUCAGGUGGUGGGGGAUGUAGUGUAGUGCAUUUUAAAUGUGGCUGAUAGGUGUGCGGUGGUCAGAACGGACUGUGCCAGUGCUGGUGCCUGGUGGUCCCACCAAUCACGGGGGUCAUCUCCUGUUGUGACCCAGGGCCCAGGGGGUCUAGUCAAAACCUUACCUAUUUCUGCUAACCUAAACCUAUUUCUUACAAAUUAGGCAUAAAUGUGAUUAUGGUAUAAUGAUAAUUAAACCUGGCCCUUUUUCAGGCGCAAGCUUUGGAUGAACUUCUGCUUCUGCGGUCGGCAUUCUUACAGGAGAACCCAAGAUUCAUUGUACCUACCUGUAUGCAUUUCAAAACUGAAUAAUUGAUAGCAACAAGUAAAUAUUUGAAGUUGCAGCCAAAUGCUGUGCCUUCUCUGCUGCAAGAGCUACAUGUCACCAUUGAAGCAAGGACCAGCUCGACUCCUGCAGUAGGAGUCCAGCCUCGUCCAGUCGUCGCCGCUCGCCAAGACCAGCCGGACUCCUGCAAUAGGGGUCCAGGCUGACCCGUUCGUCCAGUAACCGCCGCUCGUCAGCACCAGCUGGGCUCCUGUAGUAGGGGUCCAGCCUCGUCCAGUCGCCGCCGCUCGCCAAGACCAGCUGGGCUCCUGUAGUAUGGGGCUAGGAUGGCCCGUUCAUCAACCGGUCCUGAAGUCACAUCGCCGUCAGCCAGCCGAACUCAGUACAUAAGUCACCAACCCUGAAUGUUGCCAGCCAAAGUCGGCAGUUUCCUUCGGACAGUCAUCUCACCAGUGUUGUACAGUGUACGAGGUUAGUGACGCAGUUAAAUGCGUCAAUUAAAUGCGAGGACGUGCGCUUGUAUGCAGCGUUUUGUCAUGUUGAGCUGCAUGGGUGUCGAUUUUCACCGAAUUGAGGGUGCCCACUGCCCGGGCGCAGCAAAUCCGCCGCUGCCUUAGCGGUGACCUUGACCCGCACCGUCUGUUGGGGCUCCAAAGCCAAGCCAGCCGAGCCGGCGGGGAAUCUAAAGAGCUUGAGCACCCCCAACCCGGCGGAAAUUGACACCUAUGUUGAGCUGUAUGGGUGCGUUUUAGCCUUCCGCCGUGGUGGUAAAUAGCAGCCUACAUGCAGAAUUAGGCAGGCUUAUUAGCGGACUCAUUAUUGGAUUCAUUGUGUCACGUUUGUCGGCACGUGUAAGAUGUGCUUAACUGCCAUUAGCUCUCGGCCUGGCGACUUCUGGGGACCACGUAAUGGGGAU